UCUUUCAGAGCCCUGUAAGGGACUGCUGUGGGAUUUCCUGGACAGACUGUUCAGUCCAAACAGAACCUCACUGAGACCUGAAUGGGAGCAGACCUUUACCCCAGUGGGCCUCAUGCCACCUGUCAGCUGGGCUGGGAAAAAAUAGCCCCACACAGACCGUCGGUGUAACCCUGAGGAGCCGUCUCCCCCCAACGUCAGCAGUCAGAAAUAGAUCAUCAAGAAUAAAUCCCUGGAUCAAGCUCAAUCAAUCAAUCAUGGAGCAGCAGAAAGCAGAGGCUGAUCGGCUCCAGCGUGACCCGGGAGGCAUCGGGGUGCAGGCAGCCGGGACCUUUAAGGCUGUAAAGCUCUCAGUGUGGCUGGGCUGCAGAGACUGAAUGCUUCUGAACAGCAGGGAGACAUUAACACUGAGCUGGACUGGCUAAAGCUCAGCGCGUGAUGAUGACGCAUCGAUGAGAGGUCAACACCUUCGCAAGGUGUUUGUCACAGCACAAUGGUUUCAUUCACAAAGAGGACAAACAUGUUUCACUCCAUCAUACAUUAAAACACAAAACCAGGAAAUGUCAGGACUGACAGAUGUUUAGUUUUACAGUCAGAGUUCAAGCAGCAAAGUCUCAGUUUCACCACCUUAAAAGCUUUGAUGAAAAGAUGGAUGUCAGCGGCAGUACCAGAACAACAGUGUUUUCACAACUGAUAGUCCAGUAGCCUCUGUGUGCCUGGGGAACCAAGACAUUUAACAUCUGCUGCAUCUCCAGCUGCUGUGGUUCUUUCUUUCUGCUCUGAGUCAAACCAACCUGUUCCCCUCCUGGCCUGUGGGGGCGCUGCACCAAGAACCACUGAAGGAAACGACACAAAAUCUAGCUACAUUUCCACUGACCAUAAAAUAGCAAAACUGGAAUUAUGAAAAUAAAUGUUCAUAAUGGAAACAUGCCCAUUUAAAAAAGCUAAUGUUUUUAAUGAAAAAAACGUUUUGCUCUAGCGUGAGGUAAUUUUAAGUCAUAUUGAAAUUUGUUUUUCACUAAACUUCCAUGGAAACUCUUUUUUACACAUUGGGUCAGUUUGUAUUCAGCAGCAAUGAGCUCCUUGAACAGUCAGCAUUUAUCACUGAGAUGCUGUUUUAGCAUUAGCUGAAAGGCUAACUCAUUUAGCACAACAUAAAUUAACCCCUCGUGGGCAGACUGAAGCAGCUUCCAGUUAGCGAAUGUUAGCAUAUGUUGCUUGUGUAUCAGAUUUAAAGGUGUACUAGAAACAAGCAAAUAUAAUGGUUCUGGACAGAAACUUUAUAUGAAAACAAUUAUUGCGUUAAAAUUUUUAACACUUUGAAAUCUUUGUAAUUAAUUAAUUGGAAGUCUCUGCCCUACUGUUAACUUUUUUAAAUUUCAAUGGAAAUAAGCUUGGGAGGCUUAUUUUUCUUCGUCUUGUGCUGCUGUUGGCAGAUAUAGAACGUCUCCAAACAUCUCAUAUAAUUAUUUGACAGCUGCCUUUUGGAUUUACUCGGGUUAUUUUUGUGUGACAUAAAGAUUUUGAUAAUCUGAAACUUUUAAACA